CCAAACCAAAUAACAUCAAAGAGCAUAAAACCAAUUCUUUGAAGAUAUAUAAAAAUAAUCAAGCAGCUCUACGCACAUUGAAAGCCCUUUGGGACAUUCUUUCCACAGACAUUAAGCAACAAGCUCAAAGAAACUGGCACAUUAAGGUUGAUACCCAAUACAUUUGCUUUAAUGGCGGUGCAAAGGCAAACUGCAGCCUCAAGAUCGACAAGGUCCCCAAGGAGGCUGCAGCAUGGAGUGGUUGCUGGUGUACCGACGACUAGGUGAACCAAGUCAUUGAGCACGUUUGCACACACACCUAGCUUAAGUGUGUCUUUAGGACAUGUGGCUUUGUGGUGGUGAUGUUUAUUUGACCUAGGGGCCUUUGGUGGUGGUGAGCAAGAGGUUGAUGUUACAAGAGUAAAGAAGAGAAGAUUGACGGUGAUGAGGAGGAAAGCAGUUGUUGCCAAUCCCCUUGAAGCCAUUUUGAAAUGCUUUGAGGAUGCGAAGGGAAAACUAGCUCAAGAAAUGGUGGUUUGUUUUGGGGUAUGGAACUAGUGAAGUGAGUUCCUGAAUUUAUAGAUACAUAUUAUGAAUAGUGUUAUGUAGCUUUUUCAAUGCCAAGACCUUAGCCUAACCAUGCCCAUUCUUUUACUACCUUCAACCUUGUUCUUUUCAUAUUAUAUUGGCCUAUUUUUAAUAAAUGGAUCUGCAAUCCAUUUUAUAUUUAUUGUAUGACACAAAAAUAAAAUCUUUAUAUGAUAUAAAUGAGAAGACCUUGCGCCCCAUUUGCAGUAGUUUUUUUUAUUCGUAUUGUUUUCAUCUUUAUUAUCGUUUCAAUUAAAUUGGACAAAUAGUCAAAUAUUUAUAUCUUCUUGUACAAAAUAUAUUACCUUAUUUUGCUACUACUUCAAAAAAAACAUUUUCCAAAACACUCACAGUUGAAUUAAUUAGAGGAACCAAAAUGCAAUACUUUUAAGUUGCCUAAAUUAAAGCGUAACUACUUCGCGAGUAAAAUCAUAUCCACCACAUAUAUAAUCUUCACCUUGUAAGAAUUGAAACUAGAAGAUAAAUAUAUUUGAAUUACUAAAACUUAAUACUCCCUACUAUUUGAAGAAUGCAAAGAAAAGUAAAAGUCAAAGUAAGGAAAACAUUACUAAAUAGUAACAAGAAAUGGUGAAAUCUUUGAGAGAUCCAUGUGCGUUGUCACGGGUGAGUUUAUAUGCUGUUGCAUCUUGUAUGGUUAAGAAGUUCACAUUAUGUUUCAAUUAAAAAUCGAGUUUUUGUAGCAAAUUAUUCUUCGUGUCUUUAUUUAUACUUUUUGGAAAAAUAUAUUUAAUUUAUAUAUAUAAUAAAUCAUUUAAUGUAAUUACAUAUUUCCGUGUAAUCUUGAUUACUUUUUCACACUCAAUUAUUCAUAUUUAGAAAUUUUGGUGGUUAACUGCAAGUGGACGCAUGCAUCAACAUUUAAAUGGACGGCGGUCGGCGGAUGCAUAUAUUUACUGCGGAAGUAUAUAUUUUCAUGCAUGCAUCAACACCGCAUACAUAUAUAUGAGCAUUUUUCAAAAAAAAAAAAAAUUCGUAAAGUCUUUAUUUCCUUUUUUUUGUGCCUAGACAUUGCUUAGACGUUACAUGUCGUUAAUAUUUGUGAUUUGAUAUUGAAAAAUGAUAAUUGGAAUAGUAGUUCUUUAGUUCGCAUGUUUUUUUAGUUAUCAAAAAGACUCGCGCGUGUGUGUGUGUAUAUAUAUAUAUAUAUAUANUUGUUUUAAUUUAGUAAAUAUACACAGUUCAAUUUUUCGCUUGGUAAAUAUAUCAUCCCCAUACCAUUUCUUUAUUCUAUUAUCAUUUAACCAUUUCCAUUUUUAUUCCUCCAUUAUCAUUUAUUUUUUUACUCUGUACCAAACGAUUAAUAAUGAGAAUAAAAUAUUUUCAUUAAAAAAUUGUUUCCAACAAAUUACGAAAUGUGUUAGAAAAUAUAUGAUUUGUUAGGAAAUUAUGUAGUAUAUUUUUCUCUAGGAUAAGCCUUAACUAAUAAAAUGACGUAGUUUCAUAAGGUUUAAUAAGUAAGUUUAAUUGGGGUUGUAAUAUAUAUAUANNNNNNNNNNNNNNNNNNNNNNNNNNNNNNNNNNNNNNNNNNNNNNNNNNNNUUUUAAUAAAGUCAAUAUAUUUACAUGUUUGUUUAAAUUAACACAAUUCAAUUAUUGUUUGAAGAUGUCAUGGUUUACAAGUUUAACCAUUGAAAUAUUUAUGGUAAAUAUUUUACUAAUUUGAAAAAAUUUCUAUGAAAUAUUUAUAAUUUUUAUCAUACUAUUAGACAGUUUAUUAUAUUUAUCUUUUAUCUUUCAUCUUCGUAUUGCUUCUUAUCUUUAUCAUAGCUUUUGAUUUACUUACUUUAAAGAAAAAAAAUCAAGAAAUAGAUAGAAAAUAAAAUAAAAGAGAGAGGGAAUCAAUAGGACAUGAGGGNNNNNNNNNNNNNNNNNNNNNNNNNNNNNNNNNNNNNNNNNNNNNNNNNNNNNNCAGGAUCGUUGUGCCACAUCAGCUCCACUGCAUGAUGUGGGAUAGGGAUGUGAUUUAGAACCGGAAAACCGGACAGAAACCAAAACCGUUAGAACCAAAAUAUACAAAACCGGUUUCGGUUUCGGUUUCGGGUUUAAAAUUUGACUUUAUCUGGGCUCCGAGUAAUCCGGGUUUGGGUUCAUCGGGUCCGCAUAAACAUAGUCUAAAAACCGGAACCGGUGUUAGGAACUGGAACCACUUUUAGGGACGAAACCGUUUUUUGUGAAACAUUUAAAAGAUACAUAUCUCAUUCAUUUCAACUCCGAUUGACAUGCAGUUUUUCCCAACGUAUAGUUUAGAGUUUGUAGAUGAUUUUAGACUAUAAAUUUGUCAUUUUUAGUUUUAUAUUCAUUAACUUACAUUCCCCCAAAGUCAAGAUAUCAAAGCUGAUAGUUUUUAGUUUUUUCAAAUUUUUUGUAUUGUGUGAAAGUUUUAAAACAUGCAUAUCUAAUUCAUUUAAAGUCAGGUAGACAGGUGGUUUUUUCUAAAUUGUAGUUUACAGUUUGUACAUGAGUUUAUAUUAUAAUCUGUCAUUUUUUGUUUAAUAUGCAAUUAUUUACAGUCCCCCGAAGUCAGGAUAUCAAAACUGAAAAUUUUCAACUUUUCAGAUAUUUGUUUUUGUACUUUGUAUUAUUUGAAAAUGUUAACACAUGCAUAUGUCAUUCGUUUAAAGUUGGAUUGACAUGCGGUUUUUUCCAAAGUGUAGUUUAGAGUUUGUACAUGAUUUUAGAGUAUAUNUUAGUUAUAGACCACCAAAUACGGGAUAUCAACAUGAAAAUUUUCAAAGUUCGACCCACUAAGUAGUAAGUAAGUAUCAAAAAUUUCGGUUUUUCCAGAUUUUUCGGUUUUAAACCCAAUUUAUCCGGUUCAAACGUACCCACUUUGACGUUUCCGAGUUUUCCGGUUCUAGAUUAUGUACUUGUUGAAAUCAGAUCGACACAUAUGAUAAGAUUUGAUGUUGGAAUCUUAAAAUAAAUGCAUAUUUAUUGAAAAUGUUUAUUUUUAUUUUGAAUCACAAGAAUAAAACCUUAGUCACAAUAUGACAGGAUAUCCAAAAUACAAGAGAAGGUGACGAACCUCCUACUGAAAUGAAUACCCUUAAUAUAAUAAAAUACUCAACUCUAAGAGCGAAACACAAAACCAAAUAAGAUCAAAGAGCAUAAAACCAACUCUUUGAAGACAUAUAAAAAUAAUCAAGCAUCUUUAUGCACAUUGAAAGCCCUUUGGGACAUUCUUUCCACAUACAUUAAGCAACAAGCUCAAAGAAACUGGCACAUUAAGGUUGAUACCCAAGACAUUUGCUUUAAUAGCGGUGCAAAGGCAAACUGCAGCCUUAAGAUCGACAAGGUCCCCAAGGAGGCUGCAGCAUGGAGUGGUUGCUGGUGUACCGACGACUAGGUGAACCAAGUCAUUGAGCACGUUUGCACACACACCUAGCUUAAGUGUGUCUUUAGGACAUGUGGCUUUGUGGUGGUGAUGUUUAUGUGGCUUAGGGGCCUUUGGUGGUGGUGGGCAAGAGGUUGAUGUUACAAGAGUAAAGAAGAGAAGAUUGACGGUGAUGAGGAGGAAAGCAGUUGUUGCCAAUCCCCUUGAAGCCAUUUUGAAAUGCUUUGAGGAUGCGAAGGGAAAACUAGC
rnacentral:lncRNA from 1 species